UGAAGAACUACCAUUGUCAAUUGUACAUCUCACUGGCCUUGUCCUAUUGAAUCUGGAAAACUGCAAAAAACUUAUCAUUCUUCCAAGCAGCAUUUGUGACCUCAAUUCUCUUGAAACCCUCACUCUUUCUGGCUGCUCAAAACUUAAGUUGCCAGAGAAGUUUGGAAAUGAGAUGCUAGCCCUCCCACAUCAACAUGGGGGUGCAAGGAUGAUUCGGAGUAUUUUCAAACGAGACAAAAAUAG
rnacentral:misc_RNA from 1 species